GAUGAACGCUGGCGGAGUGCCUAAUACAUGCAAGUCGAGCGGCAGCGCGAGUAGUUUACUACUUGGCGGCGAGCGGCGGACGGCUGAGUAACGCGUGGGAACAUGCCCCAAAGUGAGGAAUAACUGCCCGAAAGGGUAGCUAAUGCCGCAUAUGAUCUUCGGAUUAAAGGAUUUAUCCGCUUUGGGAGUGGCCCGCGUACGAUUAGAUAGUUGGUGAGGUAAUGGCUCACCAAGUCGACGAUCGUUAACUGGUUUGAGAGGAUGAUCAGUCAGACUGGAACUGAGACACGGUCCAGACUCCUACGGGAGGCAGCAGUGGGGAAUUUUGGACAAUGGGCGAAAGCCGGAUCCAGCAAUGCCGCGUGUGUGAAGAAGGCCUUCGGGUUGUAAAGCACUUUUGUCCGGAAAGAAAUGGCUCUGGUUAAUACCUGGGGUCGAUGACGGUACCGGAAGAAUAAGGAC
rnacentral:rRNA from 1 species